rnacentral:rRNA from 1 species
AAGUCGUAACAAGGUUUCCGUAGGUGAACCUGCGGAAGGAUCAUUAGUGAAUAAAAACGCUUGGGUGUCCCUGCUUCGGCAAGCCCCUCGCACCCUUCACAUCCUUAACACACCCCCCUGUGCACCGUAAGAUUGACCUCUUUUGGGGGGCUGUCUGACCUUUUUUACAAACAAUUAUAUGUAACACAUGUAUAUUUUAUUAUAACCUAAUAAAACUUUCAACAACGGAUCUCCUGGCUCUGGCAUCGAUGAAGAACGCAGCGAAACGCGAUAGGUAAUGUGAAUUGCAGAAUUCAGUGAAUCAUCGAAUCUUUGAACGCACCUUGCGCUCGCUGGUAUUCCGGUGAGCAUGCCUGUUUGAGUGUCAUGAAAACUAUCAACCGAGACUUGGGGUUUUUUUCCCCCUUGUUCUUGGCUUGGGUUUGGGUGCUUUGCGGUGCUUUAGUGAGCUGCUCACCUUAAAAGGAUUAGCUGGACAUGUUGUGAGACUUUGGUUCUACUUGGNGUGAUAAGUAUUUCGCUGAGGACAUUCCUUCAUGGGGGGAUGGNCAGGACUCUAGACAAAAGUCUGCUUUCUAACCUCGUAGUCUUUCGGGACAUGACUUUUUAUGAUCUGGCCUCAAAUCAGGUAGGACUACCCGCUGAACUUAAGCAUAUCAAUAAGCGGAGGAAAAGAACUANCAAGGAUUCCCCUAGNAACGGCGAGUGAAGCGGNAAGAGCUCAAAUUUGAANUCUGACUCCNUCAGGGUGUGUCCGAGUNGUAAUCUAUANGGACGCUUUCUGUGCCNGCUCAUGUACAAGUCCCUUGGAACAGGGCAUCAUAGAGGGUGAGAAUCCCGUACUUGACAUGAACUUUACCGGUGCUCUGUGAUACGUCUCCCACGAGUCGAGUUGUUUGGGAAUGCAGCUCAAAAUGGGUGGUAAAUUCCAUCUAAAGCUAAAUAUUGGCCAGAGACCGAUAGCGAACAAGUACCGUGAGGGAAAGAUGAAAAGCACUUUGGAAAGAGAGUUAAAAAGUAUGUGAAAUUGUUGAAAGGGAAACGAUGGAAGUCAGUCAUGCUCUUCAGAUUCAGCUGGUUCUGCCAGUGUACUUCUGUUGAGUGGGGUCAACAUCAGUUUCGGUUGCUGGAUAAAGGCUGGAGGGAAUGUAGCACUCUUGGGUGAACUUAUAGCCUUCUGUCGCAUACAGUGACUGGGACUGAGGAACGCAGCUUGCCUUUCGGCCGGGGUUCGCCCACGUACAAGCUUAGGAUGUUGACAUAAUGGCUUUCAACGACC